GACGAACGCUGGCGGCGUGCUUAACACAUGCAAGUCGAACGGAAAGGCCCUGCUUUUGUGGGGUGCUCGAGUGGCGAACGGGUGAGUAACACGUGAGUAACCUGCCCUUGACUUUGGGAUAACUUCAGGAAACUGGGGCUAAUACCGGAUAGGAGCUCCUGCUGCAUGGUGGGGGUUGGAAAGUUUCGGCGGUUGGGGAUGGACUCGCGGCUUAUCAGCUUGUUGGUGGGGUAGUGGCUUACCAAGGCUUUGACGGGUAGCCGGCCUGAGAGGGUGACCGGCCACAUGGGGACUGAGAUACGGCCCAGACUCCUACGGGAGGCAGCAGGGGGGAAUAUUGCACAAUGGGCGGAAGCCUGAUGCAGCAACGCCGCGUGCGGGAUGACGGCCUUCGGGUGGUAAACCGCUGUCGCCUGUGACGAAGCGUGAGUGACGGUAAUGGGUAAAGAAGCACCGGCUAACUACGUG
rnacentral:rRNA from 1 species